UACGUAGGGGCCGAGCGUUUGUCCGGAGUUAUUGGGCGUAAAGCGCGCGCAGGCGGCCUCGCGCGCCCGACGUGAAAGCCCCCGGCUUAACCGGGGAGGGUCGUUGGGGACGGCGGGGCUUGAGGGCGGGAGAGGUCGGUGGAAUUCCCGGUGUAGUGGUGAAAUGCGUAGAGAUCGGGAGGAACACCUGUGGCGAAGGCAGAUCUCUGGGCCGUAACUGACGCUGAGGAGCGAAAGCAUGGGGAGCGAACAGG
rnacentral:rRNA from 1 species